CCUCGCUCACUCAGCCUAGCGCUACCCGACCACCCACGCAAUACCACCAGACGCAGCACCACCGCGCCACCACCUCCUCCUCCUCCUUUCUUCUUCUUCUUCUUCUUCUUCUUCUUUCUUUCUUUACUUUCUUUUCUUUCUUUUUCUUCCCUGCGCCUGUGACUCCACUGCUGGCAGAAGAGGAUCGCGCCUCCACCAGCCCGAGCAGAGCCGUCGCGCGCCAGCACUACUCCUCUGCCGCUCCUCGUCGCUUCACGCUAGCAGCGGCGCUCCGCCCUCUACCAGAUCGCACAGCGCACAGCAGCAGCACGAUCUCCAGCUAGUCAUGCCGCCGCCAGCCUUCUGCAGUAAUGCCACAGCCCGCCGCUGCCACUGUCGUCGCUCCAGCGCGCCUCCGACAGGUUCGAUCUGUCGCCGCCGCCUCUCUGCCACUGCCAGUCGGAUCCGGCCAUCUGCUUGCACUUCCAGCGCACAUAGCUCCGAUUCGGCACGCGUAAAUCCCCGAUCUAGCCAAAUUCGACAAAAAAUUAUAUUUGGGUAAUAGAAGAAAGUCCAAUGGAGUCGAAACAUUAAUUAUAGAAGACUGUUAAUGAGAAAAUAAUGAUGUAAAUGUACAGGUAGAGUUUCGCAAUUGUAUUCCAAAUGGAUUGUAAAUAAAUAAAUAGAGUAUAGACAUUUAUUAUAUGGAUUGUACUUGGAUGUAUUUGAGAAAUAAAUUAUUGGGCCUGAAUCCACAAUUGUGAAUA